CCUACGGGAGGCUGCAGUAGGGAAUCUUCCACAAUGGGCGAAAGCCUGACGGAGCAACGCCGCGUGGGUGAAGAAGGUCUUCGGAUCGUAAAACUCUGUUGUCAGAGAAGAAAGUGCGUGAGAGUAACUGUUCACGUUUCGACGGUAUCUAACCAGAAAGCCACGGCUAACUACGUGCCAGCAGCCGCGGUAAUACGUAGGUGGCAAGCGUUAUCCGGAUUUAUUGGGGGUAAAGGGAACGCAGGCGGUCUUUUAAGCCUGAUGUGAAAGCCUUUGGCUAAACCGGUGUAGUGCGUUGGAAACUGGGAGACUUGAGUGAAGGAGAGGAAGGUGGAACUCCGUGUGUAGCGGUGAAAUGCGGAGAUAUAUGGAGGAACACCAGUGGCGAAAGCGGCCCUCUGGUCAGUAACUGACGCUGAGGUUCGAAAGCGUGGGUAGCAAACAGGAUUAGAUACCCCAGUAGUC
rnacentral:rRNA from 1 species